rnacentral:rRNA from 1 species
AGUGAACGCUGGCGGUAGGCCUAACACAUGCAAGUCGAACGGCAGCACAGUAAGAGCUUGCUCUUACGGGUGGCGAGUGGCGGACGGGUGAGGAAUACAUCGGAAUCUACUUUUUCGUGGGGGAUAACGUAGGGAAACUUACGCUAAUACCGCAUACGACCUACGGGUGAAAGCAGGGGAUCUUCGGACCUUGCGCGAUUGAAUGAGCCGAUGUCGGAUUAGCUAGUUGGCGGGGUAAAGGCCCACCAAGGCGACGAUCCGUAGCUGGUCUGAGAGGAUGAUCAGCCACACUGGAACUGAGACACGGUCCAGACUCCUACGGGAGGCAGCAGUGGGGAAUAUUGGACAAUGGGCGCAAGCCUGAUCCAGCCAUACCGCGUGGGUGAAGAAGGCCUUCGGGUUGUAAAGCCCUUUUGUUGGAAAAAAAAAGCAGCAGGUUAAUACCCCGCUGUUCUGACGGUACCAAAAGAAUAAGCACCGGCUAACUUCG